AGGUUUCUGCUUUGUUUGUGAGGAUUUUUUUGGUUUUGAUCCUAUAUUCUGAACGGGAACCGGAAGUGAGAUAUUUAGUACAUCAGACUUGAAAAAGUAGAUGGAAAGGUAUAUCCAGGUGCCCACCUUGCACUUGCAGGGUCAGAAAACCAGAUAUCUAACGGCAAAGCGGAAAAAGG
rnacentral:other from 1 species